GGGAGGAACAGCCCCAGUGGCGAGGCCAGCUCUGGAGCCCUGGAGUCAGCCCCCGCAGUAACUCCAGAGCUCUCCGUCUGCAGGGCCUGGAGGCUCCGGGGCGGG
rnacentral:pre_miRNA from 1 species